rnacentral:lncRNA from 1 species
CUGCUGCCUCAACAUCUGGAUCGUCUACUCCAUCUGCGCCAUCCGUUCCAUCAUGUCGAUCUAAAAUUGCUGAUACUGGUCAAUACGUGCAGUCAUCUCCUGAGCUCGCUGCUCAGCUUGCUGUCGAUCCUCAGCAGUCUGCCUUUACACCUCCAUCAACCGAGCCUGGCACGUAGAAUGGAUCUCAACCCUAAAUGAUCAUGAAGAUGAAGGAGCAG